UACAGAGGGUGCGAGCGUUGUUCGGAAUUAUUGGGCGUAAAGGGUGCGUAGGCGGCGCGGUAAGUCGGGUGUGAAAUCUCGGGGCUUAACUCCGAAACUGCAUUCGAUACUGCCGUGCUUGAGGACUGGAGAGGAGACUGGAAUUUACGGUGUAGCGGUGAAAUGCGUAGAUAUCAGGAGGAACACCGGUGGCGAAGGCGGCCCUCUGGACGGAUACUGACGCUGAGGCGCGAAAGCGUGGGGAUCAAACAGG
rnacentral:rRNA from 1 species